AGGGCUGUAGCUUAGUGGUAGAGCAUCUGCUCUCCAUGCAGAAAGUCCCAAGUUCAAUCCCAGUCAGCUUCA